rfam:Schistosoma haematobium scaffold875_4, whole genome shotgun sequence.
AUCCAGUUGACGAGUCCAAAAUAGGACGAAAGACGUGUCCUGGAU